UACGUAGGGGGGCAAGCGUUGUCCGGAUUUAUUGGGCGUAAAGAGCGUGUAGGCGGCCUGAAAGGUCAGCUGUGAAAACUCGAGGCUCAACCUCGAGACGUCGGUUGAAACCAUCUGGCUAGAGUCCGGAAGAGGAGUGUGGAAUUCCCCGGUGUAGCGGUGAAAUGCGCAGAUAUCGGGAAGAACACCCAUGGCGAAGGCGGCACUCUGGGACGGUACUGGACGGCUGAGACGCGAAAAGCGUGGGGGAGCAAACGGG
rnacentral:rRNA from 1 species